rnacentral:miRNA from 1 species
AAGAUGUGGAAAAAUUGGAAUCC